AUUGAACGCUGGCGGCAGGCCUAACACAUGCAAGUCGAGCGAGCGGCGGACGGGUGAGUAAUGUAUGGGAAUUGCCCGAUAGAGGGGGAUAACUACUGGAAACGGUGGCUAAUACCGCAUACUGUCGGAUAACCCAUAUGGGAUGGGCUAGUAGGUAAGGUAAUGGCUUACCUAGGCGACGAAACCUAGACGGUCUGAAGUGAUGAUAAGACACACUGGAACUGAGACACGGCCCAGACUCCUACGUAGGCAGCAGUGGGGAAGAUUGCCCAAUGGGCGCAAGCCUGAUGCAGCCAUGCCGCGUGUAUGAAUAAGGCCCUAGGGUUGUAAAGUACUUUUGUCAGGGAAGCGGUACCUGAAGAAUAAGCACCGGCUAACUACGUGCCAGCAGCCGCGGUAAUAC
rnacentral:rRNA from 1 species